UAGAGUUUGAUCAUGGCUCAGAACGAACGCUGGCGGCAGGCCUAACACAUGCAAGUCGAACGGUAACAGGUCUUCGGAUGCUGACGAGUGGCGAACGGGUGAGUAAAACAUCGGAACGUGCCUGGUAGUGGGGGACAACUGCUCGAAAGAGCAGCUAAUACCGCAUGACAUCCAAGGAUAAAAGCAGGGGACCUUCGGGCCUUGUGCUACCAGAGCGGCCGAUGGCAGAUUAGGUAGUUGGUGAGGUAAAGGCUCACCAAGCCUGCGAUCUGUAGCUGGUCUGAGAGGACGACCAGCCACACUGGGACUGAGACACGGCCCAGACUCCUACGGGAGGCAGCAGUGGGGA
rnacentral:rRNA from 1 species